UGGGGAAUUUUGGACAAUGGGCGAAAGCCUGAUCCAGCAAUGCCGCGUGUGUGAAGAAGGCCUUCGGGUUGUAAAGCACUUUUGUCCGGAAAGAAAUCCUCUGGGUUAAUACCUCGGGGGGAUGACGGUACCGGAAGAAUAAGCACCGGCUAACUACGUGCCAGCAGCCGCGGUAAUACGUAGGGUGCAAGCGUUAAUCGGAAUUACUGGGCGUAAAGCGUGCGCAGGCGGUUUUGUAAGACGGAUGUGAAAUCCCCGGGCUUAACCUGGGAACUGCAUUCGUGACUGCAAGGCUAGAGUAUGGCAGAGGGGGGUUAGAAUUCCACGUGUAGCAGUGAAAUGCGUAGAGAUGUGGAGGAAUACCGAUGGCGAAGGCAGCCCCCUGGGCCAAUACUGACGCUCAUGCACGAAAGCGUGGGGAGCAAACAGGAUUAGAUACCCUGGUAGUCCACGCCCUAAACGAUGUCAACUAGUUGUUGGGGAUUCAUUUCCUUAGUGACGUAGCUAACGCGUGAAGUUGACCGCCUGGGGAGUACGGUCGCAAGAUUAAAACUC
rnacentral:rRNA from 1 species